rnacentral:rRNA from 1 species
UGGGGAAUUUUGCACAAUGGGGGAAACCCUGAUGCAGCGACGCCGCGUGAUUUAGAAGGCCUUCGGGUUGUAAAAAUCUUUUCUAUGGGAAGAAAAUGACAGUACCAUAGGAAUAAGGACCGGCUAAUUACGUGCCAGCAGCCGCGGUAAUACGUAGGGUCCGAGCGUUGUCCGGAAUCAUUGGGCGUAAAGGGUACGUAGGCGGGUAAGCAAGUUAGAAGUGAAAUCCUAUAGCUCAACUAUAGUAAGCUUUUAAAACUGCUCAUCUUGAGGUAUGGAAGGGAAAGUGGAAUUCCUAGUGUAGCGGUGAAAUGCGCAGAUAUUAGGAGGAAUACCGGUGGCGAAGGCGACUUUCUGGCCAUAACCUGACGCUGAGGUACGAAAGCGUGGGUAGCAAACAGG